UCAGUUAGGCAAAGAAAAUAGAAAGUCCUCCACCUUUUGGAACGCAGAUAAUUUAGUUUGACAUUGACCUUUGUGAACUUACAUCUAUCUUUAGAGAAAGCCAUAUGAAAUCAGACUGCAAUAUUAAUUAUGCUACUCUGUGUUAAAAAUAAAUAAAACAAGUGACUAGACCAUGUGCUGAACCACUUUGGAAUUCCUCUGUCUAUGUUUCUACCACCAUGUGUUGGCUUAGAUCCUUCCCAGUCCCUCUCCUUUGUCAA